AAAAGAUAAAGUUUUAAUCUUCUUCCCCAAGCCAUAGCCGAUCCCCUCUUCUUCUCCUCUCUUUUGUUCUUCAAGAAACCAAACUCCUCUCAUCUCCUUCAAGCCAAACAUCCAUUUCCCUUCUUCUCAAGAGGAAAAUAGCAAGGAAUAUUGACGAUGGAAGUAUCGAGGAGCAUAGAGGUAAUGAUGAAAAGGCUAGUGAGCAAGGCAUUACUGCAAAGGGAGAGGUAGAUGCUUAGGACCUUCCCUAACUAGAACAGUUAUGUUUAUGGAUGAUAGGUUAUGUUUUUU